GACGGUGCCUGACGUCACCUACGGCAAGAAGUUUUUGAUCCCACACGUCAAAGUCGCGGGUUCGAAUCCCUACAUCAUCAUCCAGUCUUCCACCGACAACACGUUCAUAGAGUUCACAGUCUCCCACUUCCAGAACACAACAACAUCGACAAUUGGUUUAGCCGGACACACGCUGAUGAUGGAAGUACACGGGCCACAUGUGGUUGUGGCUGAUAAACCUGUGGUCUGCUACCUUGUGGUGCAGGGUUCGUGUGGUCAAACAAAUGUUGGUGUAGCUAGGACUCUCGUCGUCCCCACCAUCCUCUUCUACAACAUCUAUACCUGGAACUCUAUGCCGACAGGGGUCAGACAACACAAGGUGUAUCUGACGUUGAUUGUUUACACCAUGGAUGUGACGUUUGUUUACGUAGAAAGUCUAAACGUCAG